UACGUAGGGUGCAAGCGUUGUCCGGAAUUAUUGGGCGUAAAGAGCUCGUAGGCGGUUUGUCGCGUCUGCUGUGAAAAACCCCGAGGCUCAACCUCGGGCCUGCAGUGGGUACGGGCAGACUAGAGUGCGGUAGGGGGAGAUUGGAAUUGCCUGGUGUAGCGGUGGAAUGCGCAGAUAUCAGGAGGAACACCAAUGGCGAAGGCAGAUCUCUGGGCCGUAACUGACGCUGAGGAGCGAAAGCAUGGGGAGCGAACAGG
rnacentral:rRNA from 1 species